UUGCCACCAUUGCAAUCACCACCAUAUUUACCACAUUAACGAUGCCCUUAACUCUGCCACUAUUACUGCACCACCACCAUUAUGCUCUCCAUUACUACCGCACCAUAAAAACAUCGCCACUGCAUUCACCAUAAAAACAUCGCCAUUAUCAUCGCCUACCACAUUGCCAACACCCUAGCACUACUUUUGUUUUUUGGUACAACGGCAGCUCACAUACACCAAGCAUAGGUACAACCAACGAAAUCAGAAAAAAGAAGGUAACACAGGGAAUGAGGCACUGACACGUGGUCGCCCCAGGUGAAGCCUCUAGAGUGGUGAGCUGCAAAUGAGGUCACCCAGUCAGUCGCGCUAUUCGCCUCUCUGUAGACAUGUGUAACCCACGAAAGACUACAUUUGUCUAAGAGUCUCGAACUCGUGUCAAGACUCCGGUCUUGUAUCCACUCUAUCACCGUGGCCAAGUCUCCCUUGAGCAGAAUGCAGUCCGUACCCAGUACCCACCUCACAUAAAUAACUCCCUCCUAUACAGCCCUGAGCUCAGCAUAGACCACAGACAUGUUGAAAAUCCGCCGAUCUCCAGCUACAACCAGUCUAGCCUCAUGGUCCCUGAUAACGAAGCCCACGCCUCCAAUACACCCUCCCUUACCAACACUAUCAUUGAAGUUUACUUUGAGAAAGCUAGGAGGUGGGAGCUCCUAGAAGACCUGUACAGUCCUGGAUGCUACAGGAGCAAAAGGGGAGUCCCAUAUUUGCCUGGCUGUCCCAAGGGGCGACGACGUGGCAACGUGGGUGAUCUUCUCUGCAUGAAGAAGAGCCUUGUCAGCUACCGACCUUGGAUGCGCUAUGCUAUCCUCGAAGAUUCGGGCAUUUCUAUCUAGCUAGCAAUGGUAGGCUAGGUAGGCAACCCUGAUGACUGGUCUCUCCAAGCCCGGACUCCGCACUGAAGUCUCUAGGAAGAGAAGGAAGUUCUCGGUCGACGACCACCCCAGCCGUGGAUCGUGGGGGCCCUAGGCGCACCCCUACAUCUGGGCAGCCCUCGGGCAUCCAAAAAUGACAUGGAAAAUAGACUCCUCCACUUCUAGGCAAUCCAGACACUCAGGAGAAAUGUGUAUCCCUCG
rnacentral:lncRNA from 1 species